UCAUGAUUAUGAAAAGUGCAAAAUUCUUGCUUUCUAAUGCCGAAAAUUUCAAUUUUAAUAAGCCUGGAAAGGACAUGACUUUAUGCUACUACAGAGAAAAAAACUGAAGUUGGAUAUCACUCUUGUUAUAGUUGCUUAGAAGUUUUAUGUCAAUUGAGAAAAAAAAAUAGAAUGGCCAGAAUUUGCUGAAUGUCUGAUCCCUGUACAAAACUUGAUUUCAGCAUUAAUUAAUUAUUUUUUUUAUAGAAAGCAUUAAUUAAUUUAUCAGUGGACUUUUCUGGUGCAAGUUUUUAUGUGCCAUUCCCCCAGUCUAGAAAUGUACACCUAUUGUUCUACUUCGAUUUCCUUCAUCUUUAUUGUCCUGUAACAGUUAUAACCAGUAUUGAAAAUCGCUUCUUCUAUCUAGCACCUUGCUAUAGAUUUUUUCCUUAAUUAUCCAUAUUUGGGUUGAGUUCUGUAAUGAUUCUUGAAGCCCCUUGAUGAGCAAUUUUGUUUGAGAACUCAUUGCAAUUCCAGCUAGUUGUCAUACCUUAAUUUCAGUUAGCUUCUUAGUUAGAAAGGUUAACAAGAAAAAAUUCCUACUGAAGGUGCCAGUUAUAUGGCGUAUUUUUUAUAUUUUCUUAUUAAGUAUGUGUGAAUAUAUCGAAGUAAAAUAAUGUUUGUCAUAAUAUAUUUGGUAGUUAUGAGAUUGCCAUUAUGGUUCUGUUGGGUUUUGUUGUUUGGAUUUAAGUUAACAUCCUUAGGAUUUUUACUUGGAAGUGAGUUGUGUUCAAGCAUUAAAUCCAUAGUGUUUGAUGUUUCAAAUUAGCUGAGUGUUAGAUUCUUGGGGUGAUUGGCUGGCUUUGUUUGGUUUGUGGUGAUUCAAAUUAGUCAUGAUUUCACUGGAGUUCAAUGUUUGCUGGUCACAAUAUUAUAGCCUUCAUUACUUAGGUUGUUUGGCAUCUCCUUCCCCCAAAAUUCUCUACUUUUUUUCCCUUUCCCUUUUCUUGUAGUAGCAUUUAACCUCUGAUUUAUACUGUAUUGCAAGAUAAAAGUGGGUUGUGGAUAAGUUUAUUUGGAAUUGGGCCAUUGAUGUAGCUUGUGUAGUGGAUGGAAGUCUUUUUGAUUCCUGUUACUUCUCUGUUGAUAGUUCCAGUGACCAAAAUGCUAGGAGCUUUAGUUAUAUUACAAAAUAUUUCCUUAGCCAAUCUCUUCUUGUUGCUGAGGUACCUUUGUAUUUAGAUUGUUAUAUCCUUUCCUUUAUUGCUACAGCAUAUAGAUUCCUACUUUUAUUUCAUAUCACAAUGACCUUACCACCGGAAGUUAUUUUUAAGUUUCUUGAUUACUCCCAUGCCAGAGAUUUCUCAAUUUUGUUUGAUAAUACUAUGAAAUCAAUUUCUUAACUCAAGCGCAGGUAUCUUUCUUGUUUCUUAUGGCUUGCAUCUAAUCCGUCACAUUGUGGAAUGCAUUUGUACGUUGGUCGAACAGGUUUAACUAUUAUGAUUUGUUCAAUAAAUACUUUUGCCACUUUUACUUGUAAUAUAUGUACAUAUCAUUUUCAGAGUUUGCAGCUUGCAUGACCUGUUCCUAUUCAACAUGCUGUCCUGAGACAUUUGAUCAUUUAUAUCUCUUUAGUAAUGAUUAUGAUGAUGCAAGAGACAUAUACAAGAAACCUGUGCAUGGCAAUUUUCCUUGUGAAUUGUGAUGACGAAGGGCGUAUUAUCUUGUAAGUACUUUAAUUCUUGUUCUGUCAGCCGUUACUCUUUUCACCCUAAAGCAUCAUUUCUGGUGUUGCUUUUUUUAUACUGUUUCUCAAAUCACGGAGUUAUCUACCCUUAUUUGCUGGAAAACUCUUUCUAAACGGUUAAUCAGAUACCUUUCUUUUGUACAUUCCUUUUCUUGCCAUGCAAUGGAUUCUUUUAUUUAUAAUUGUCUCCUAAAGGCGUGCACUGAUUUUAUAGGAUACUCAUAAGCAUCUAAUAUGACGGUUAGCCCUUUUGACAAUUAAAAAGGAAAAUGUAAUCUGAUUGACAUUCUUGCUGCUUUCUUUAAUUGUGGCUUAUAUGCGAAGCCUUCUUAAAAUUGUGCAUGAGAGUUACAUUGCCUGCAAAUGCAAGCACUUGUGUAGCUGCAACAUAGCAUGUCCAAAUAGGGUAUUACAAAAUAACGUACGACUGAAAUUAAAAAUUUUCUAAACAAAGAAUAAGGUAAUAGUUUCAAAUUCUGGUUGUAUUUUAUAGUUUUAUCCUUUGACGUUGCUUCAUGUCUUACCAGGUUUUAUUUCCAGAUUUAUGUGGAUCUGUCUUCGCCCUAUGCUUGCUUCUUCCUUCUUUUCUUUCUUUUUAGUUUAUGUUUUAUGUUAAGUAGGCUAUAUGAUUGGAUUCCAAGUAUGAUACAGACGGUUGCAACUAUACGUAUAACAUUGAUUCCCAUGGUAAUGAUAUGAGCCAGUUGAUUAAGGGACAGGUCCAAUAAGUUAUGGAUGCAACCCAGUGUGGGAAUGUUUCUUGGUUCAUCAAUCAUAGUUGCUCGAAUCUUGUGAAUCAUCAAGUUCUUGUGGAGGGCAUGGAUUGUCACAGUGCUGACAUUGGUCUCUAGUGUAAGUGUGUCUCGUUCUGAAUCACAUCUGUGAACCCCAUGAUGAUUGGCGGUUCAAAUUUUUUUGAAUAGUAGCUAUUGGUGAAGAGCUAACUUUUGAUUAUGGAAAUGAACAGCUUCCUGGAGAAGGAUAUCCAUGUCAACGUGAAGCUUCUACGGGGUCUCAAUGGCAUCCAAGGUUUUGCUUUUUAAGUUCCCAAAUGAGUGAUACCAACAAGGGAGAUUGAUCUCCAUCAAGCUAGUCCCUGGACGAAACGCAACACACGUUGUGAACAGCUGUACAUUUUAGGAUGCUGGUUCUUUUAUCAUGGCAACCGUAAAGGCGUCAACUUCAAAUCUCUAUCACGUGGGAUUUGUACGGAAGGAUAACACCAACAAUUAUUGUAUUAUAAUGAACUGAAUUAUCGUUCAAAAAUCAUAUUAUAUGGAGCUCAUUGAUAAAUGAUGUACUUUAACAUAAUUUUGAGUUUAGAUGGACAGCUGUAAGAUGGUGUAAAGAGAGUUGUGGGUGCCAAAUUAGUGUUUCUUAACGAGCUUCAAGGAAAUUGGAUGAAACUCAAGAGAUUGCGGUUGCACUAUAUCUGCUGGGUGAAGUCACUUUUGGUCUGGACAUCUAUAGCUUUCUCCCUGGU